rnacentral:rRNA from 1 species
UACGGAGGAUGCGAGCGUUAUCCGGAUUUAUUGGGUUUAAAGGGUGCGUAGGUGGUUUUUUAAGUCAGUGGUGAAAGUUUGUCGCUCAACGAUAAAAUUGCCAUUGAAACUGGGGAACUUGAGUAUGUUUGAGGUAGGCGGAAUGCGUGGUGUAGCGGUGAAAUGCAUAGAUAUCACGCAGAACUCCGAUUGCGAAGGCAGCUUACUAAACCAUAACUGACACUGAAGCACGAAAGCGUGGGUAUCAAACAGG